AUCAUGGCUCAGGAUGAACGCUAGCUACGGGCUUAACACAUGCAAGUCGAGGGGCAGCAUGGUCUUAGCUUGCUAAGGCUGAUGGCGACCGGCGCACGGGUGUGUAACACGUAUCCAACCUGCCGUCUACUCUUGGCCAGCCUUCUGAAAGGAAGAUUAAUCCAGGAUGGGAUCAUGAGUUCACAUGUCCGCAUGAUUAAGGUAAUUUCGUUACGUACGA
rnacentral:rRNA from 1 species